UGGAAGUUUCCAGGCUGGGGAUUGAAUCUGAGCCGCGGCUGGGAUCUACAUCACAGCUUAGCAGUUGGGGAUGCUUAACCCACUGUGCUUGGCCCAGGAUUGAACCUGAGCCCCUCCAGCCACUCAGGCUGCUGCAUUUGGAUUUUUAAUUCCCUGCGCUACAGCGGGAGCUCCAGUUAUGUACUGUUUUGUCUGGCUUCUUUCAACACAGUUAUCUUGAGACUCAUCCACAGUUGCAUGUAUCAGUUGAUUCGUCUUUUUUAUUGCUGACUGGUAGUACCUUGUGUGGCUACACCACAGCUUUUUUAUUCAUUCACCUCUUGGUGGACAUUUGAGUUAUUUCCAUUGUUCGGCUUUGACAAAUAAAGCUGCCAUGAAUAUUUGUGCACAAGUGUGUACACAGUAAAAGAUUUCUUUUUCUUGUGGGUAAAUGCUCAGGAAUGAAUCAUAUAACAGUUGUACACUUAAGUUUUUAAGGAAACAGCAAACUUUUCCAAAGUGGUUUUACAGUUUCACAUUCUCACCAGCAGUGUAUAGAGUUCCAGUGGCUCUCUAACCUAACAUGUGAUACGGUUAGACAUUCUGCUAGCUGUGUAGUGGCAUUAGCUUUUGUUUGCCUAUGGACACAUAUCUCGAACACUUUAAAAAGUACGCUUAUUUGCCAUCCGCUUAGUUUCUUUGGUGAAAUGACAGUUCACUUACGCAUCUGGCUGCAUGGCCUGAAAACACUAUCAAAGCAGGGGAUGGGGACCGCUGUGGGGCUUAUCUCUUUUGUUCCCAUCUUUUAGGAUCACUGAUGUCUGCUGUCCCAAAGACCAGUGUUCUGUGUAUUUUGUUUGUAUUUUCAAGGAGGAGAGGAAAUUUGGUCUCUGUGACGUCCAUCUUGGCCAAAGCACAAAUGAAUUUUAUUUUAUUUUUAUUUUUUGUAUUUUUGUCUUUUCAGGGCUGCACUCAAGGCAUAUGGAGGUUCCCAGGCUAGGGGUCUAAUUGGAACUGUAGCCGCUGGCCUACACCACAGCCAUGCCAGAUCCAAGCCGCGUCUGCGACCUACACCGUAGCUCACGGCAGUGCCGGAUCCUUAACCCACUGAGUGUGUUACACUGAGUGAGGUCAGGGAUCGAACCUGCAACCUCAUGGUUCCUAGUCAGAUUCAUUUCCACUGUGCCACGAUGGGAACCCCUAUUUAUUUAUUCAUUUAUUUAUUUUUGCUUUUCAGGGCCACACCUGUGGCACAUGGAAGUUUCCAGGCUAGGGGUCUAAGCAGAACUGUAGCUGGCGGGCUACGCUGCAGCUACAGCAACACCAGAUCUGAUCCACAUCUGUAACCUACACCACAUACAGCUCCAACCUAACACUGCAUCCUUAACCCACUGAGUGAGGCCAAGGAUUGAAUCUGUGUCCUCAUGGAUACUAGUUGGGUUUGUAAUCCUCUGAGCCACAGCAGAACUCCCUGUGCUGUGGCUCAGUGGCUAAUUUGCUCCUUUGUUCUUUAUAUUUUCUGUAAACUGGUAGUUAAAUUUAGAGGAUUGAUCGUUUUCAAAUUAAAAUUAUUUUUGCAAGAAUAAUUCAUAGGAGAUAUUUUGCCCAUCCUGUUUAAAAUGAAAACCCUUGCUGCACUCCAGUUCCCUAACCUGUUAUAGUGCUUUUAUUUUCACAGGACCCGGCAGCAUAGUACAAGUGUUCAUGUUUAAUAUCUGAUCUAAAAUUUAAACUCCAUAAAGGCACAGUUCUUUGUUUUCUAUAUUGCUCUAUCUCCAGAAGUCUAGAUCAUUGUUCAGCACGUGGUUGGCACAAAGUAAAAAUCUUUUGAAUUAAUGAGUGAGUGAGAUACAAAGGUGCAGAAUUGGUAAGCUGUCAUUACCCUCAUUACCAUUCGUGGAAAAGUAACAUUUUCUUUUGUUAGAAUAAUUGUGCUUAAUAACAUUAUUAAAGACAUUGUAGGAGUUCCCAUCGUGGUGCAGCAGAGAGUCCGACAAGGAACCAUGAGGUUGUGGGUUCGAUCCCAGGGCUCGGAUCUGGCAUUGCUGUGGCUGAUGUGUAGGCCAGCAUCUGUAGCUC
ensembl:lncRNA